UGGGGAAUAUUGGACAAUGGGCGCAAGCCUGAUCCAGCAAUGCCGCGUGUGUGAAGAAGGCCUUCGGGUUGUAAAGCACUUUUAUCAGGAGCGAAACGCUGUCGGCUAAUACCCGGCGGAACUGACGGUACCUGAGGAAUAAGCACCGGCUAACUUCGUGCCAGCAGCCGCGGUAAUACGAAGGGUGCAAGCGUUAAUCGGAAUUACUGGGCGUAAAGCGUGCGUAGGCGGUUUCUUAGUCUGCUGUGAAAUCCCCGGGCUCAACCUGGGAAUGGCAGUGGAUACUGGGAGGCUAGAGUGUGUCAGAGGGUGGUGGAAUUCCCGGUGUAGCGGUGAAAUGCGUAGAGAUCGGGAGGAACAUCAGUGGCGAAGGCGGCCACCUGGGACAACACUGACGCUGAGGCACGAAAGCGUGGGGAGCAAACAGGAUUAGAUACCCUGGUAGUCCACGCCCUAAAGCGAUGCGAACUGGAUGUUGGUCUCAACCGCAGCAUGCAGUGUCGAAGCUAACGCGU
rnacentral:rRNA from 1 species